rnacentral:rRNA from 1 species
CGCCCUUCGGGGUGCACCAGGCGCGAAAACUUUACAAUGCCGGCAACGGCGAUAAGGGAACCUCGAGUGCCAGGUUACAAAUCUGGCUGUCGUGAUGCCUAAAAAGCAUUGCAUAGCAAGGGCCGGGCAAGACCGGUGCCAGCCGCCGCGGUAACACCGGCGGCUCGAGUGGUAACCGUUAUUAUUGGGUCUAAAGGGUCUGUAGCCGGCCGGGUAAGUCUCUUGGGAAAUCUGGCAGCUUAACUGUCAGGCUUUCAGGAGAUACUGCCUGGCUCGAGGCCGGGAGAGGUGAGAGGUACUUCAGGGGUAGGGGUGAAAUCUUGUAAUCCUUGAAGGACCACCAGUGGCGAAGGCGUCUCACCAGAACGGACCUGACGGCAAGGGACGAAAGCUAGGGGCACGAACCGGAUUAGAUACCCGGGUAGUCCUAGCCGUAAACGAUACUCGCUAGGUGUCGGCCACGGUGCGACCGUGGUCGGUGCCGUAGGGAAGCCGUGAAGCGAGCCACCUGGGAAGUACGGCCGCAAGGCUGAAACUUAAAGGAAUUGGCGGGGGAGCAC